UUUUGUUCCAUGAUAGAAGAGUUCCAGAGUAUUCCAUCUUCCACCGACUCUCCUGCGUCUUCUCCGUUGUAUAUUAUAUAAUUUCGGAUAUAAUUUUGAUCUCAAUAUUCAUCUACCCAUAUGAUUAUCAUCAGCUUCAGCUACGCCAUCAGAUUUACCAGUUAGCUUACAUUCACUAGCUUCAAACGACUAUCCUGAAGCUAAUCCUAAUUGUUAUCACCAACUCAGAUUUCUUAUGAUUUUUGUUUUCUCUUCAUCUGCUCAUUUUUCAGCCAUGGUUUAACUCCCUCUGUUUGGCCUAUGAUUUUCAAUUAUCAAUCUUCUUUCUUUCCUCAAAGAAAACCAAAAACAAAAUAUCUGGUGCCUUCUCCAUCAGGCGUUCCUGGAUGCUUUAGUCCACAACUUUCAUAAUUUCGUGAAAUCUACGGAAGAAUAAACGUUUUCUGAAAGAGGCUGUGAUGAUACUUGUUUAUUGUUUUUUCCAGAAAUGGCCUUUUCUUCUUUCAACCAUUUGCUUAGCUCUCUGCCAGAUAUGUUUCAAUCCGAGUAAUAUCUAGGAUUUGGUCUUUCCUGACUUUGAUCGAGUUGUACACUGUGUUCCAUGCGUUAGACUCUAUUUUUAGAUCACUUAUGAAAACAAGGGGUGAUGUUGGGGUUUCUGUCAGCCUAUCUCACCAUGAAGUUCAUGAGCUUGUUAAGCAUUUCAAUGGAUAUUCACACGACAACAAAGAAAAUGCUAUUUGAUUUUUGAAAUAGAGUCAUCUCAUUAAAGAAUUCUUCAAGAUGACUCAUGAUGCUUAUUUACCGCAGAAGAAUCUCAGAAAAGGGUUGUAUAUUUGUGCAGCAAAUGACGUGUAACAAUGAUGAGAUUUAUAAGUUGCAUAUAAAUGACGGAUCAAUUAAUAAGUUGCAUAUUGCUGGUUGGUAGGGAUUUCAAAGCCUACCAACCUGCAUUGCAUCAGUUUCUGGAAUGACGGAAACAAAAAUGUUUGAAGAAUUCAAACUUCUUUAUGCACGAGAAGAAAUGUUAUGUGGCAGUACUUCAUAUACCGUGUGAGGACACAGACGUGGAGGAAUAUUCAUAGUCAUCUCUCAACCUUUGGCCGUAUAGUUCACCUCCAAUUGUCAAUGGUGGUUAAAAUGGACAAGGAAGAGAUCUCCAAUAUGCCUCAUCCCGUAAGUGUAUGUAGCUCAUGGAUGACACAUCAAACAAUGUCUCUCUUAUUGAAGGAUGAGUCUUUGACUUUCUGCCAAUUGUUCGUCGAGAAUGUGGAUAUAUGGAUCCUGGAGGACUAUGAAAAAUGGUUAUGGACCAAAAUAUGCAAGAUUAAUCUUGUAUUUGAUUAUCAAAGUACCCCUGAAACUAUAUAUUUUGGUCACAAUAGUUAUUGGGGAGUGGUUAAGAACGGGUUGUCUCGAAUAAUGCCAUUGCACUUCCUGGAUGGUGAACCGGUAUUUUAUUGGUAUGCAAGAGGGUUAUUUAUGUAUAAUAUGGAUCAUAAUACUUUGUGGUAUAUCCAGUGUCCACAAGAGUCAAUGUUACAUACUUGUGUAUCUUGUAAAAGGAGCCUCUUGACCAUAGCCUAGCUUUGGUGGUGCUAUUAGGAAACAAAAGGUUGUCUGCUUGAGCGGGUGCUUUGUAAGGAGGGGGGUGCCGAUGUAGAUGGAUACUUUUAAAUGAUUUGGUGUUUCUUGAGUAAUUUCAAGAUUCGUGGAGGAGUUGAUGUUCUGUUGGAAAAGUGAAGCUAGGCGAAGAAGAUUCCUCUUUGGACUGAUAACUAACUAACCGUCCGUGCCUGCAUUACAUUGUGUGGUUCACUACUGCAUAACCUAGCUGAUUCUAAAGCAUUAUACAAUCAUUUUGUAUUUGUCAAAUAUUGUGCUUCUGGUAAUUCUUAAUAGUUUCACUCUCCUCCAUUUUAAAUGUGACAAAAAUUUUGUACUCCUUUUCCUUCUGUUCUUAAGCUCUAAUGAAGCUCGGUAUGUUAUUAGCUAAUUGUACAUUAAUUACUGGAUAGCAAAGGCCACCUAUGUAUUCUAUUUCUUGUAUUUUUUGAUAACCCUCAAGAAUAAAAAUUGUGACUUACAAGUUGUAUACUAA